ensembl:misc_RNA Metazoa_SRP Metazoan signal recognition particle RNA
GCCAGGUGUGGUGGCGUGCACCUGUAAUCCCAGCUACUUGGGAGGCUGAGGCAGGAGAAUUGCUUGAACCCAGGAGGCAGAGGUUGCAGUGAGCCAAGAUCAUGCCACUGCACUCCAGCCUGGGUGACAGAGUGAGAUUCUGUCUCAA